AUUGAACGCUGGCGGCAGGCCUAACACAUGCAAGUCGAGCGAGCGGCGGACGGGUGAGUCAUGUAUGGGGAUCUGCCCGAGAGAGGGGGAUAACUACUGGAAACGGUAGCUAAUACCGCAUACUAUUGGAGCGGCCGAGAUCGGACUAGCUAGUUGGUUGGGUAAAGGCUACCCAAGGCAACGAUCCGUAGCUGGUUUGAGAGGACGACCAGCCACACUGGGACUGAGACACGGCCCAGACUCCUACGGGAGGCAGCAGUGGGGAAUUUUGGACAAUGGGGGAAAGCCUGAUCCAGCCAUCCCGCGUGUAUGAGAAGGCCUUCGGGUUGUAAAGUACUUUUGGCAGAGAAGCGGUAUCUGCAGAAUAAGCACCGGCUAACUACGUGCCAGCAGCCGCGGUAAUUC
rnacentral:rRNA from 1 species